rnacentral:rRNA from 1 species
CCGGCGAUGUCCGAAUGGGGAAACCCAGUGCAAUUCGUUGCACUAUCGUUAACUGAAUACAUAGGUUAACGAGGCGAACCGGGGGAACUGAAACAUCUAAGUACCCCGAGGAAAAGAAAUCAACCGAGAUUCCCCCAGUAGCGGCGAGCGAACGGGGAGCAGCCCAGAGUCUGAAUCAGCUUGUGUGUUAGUGGAACGGUCUGGAAAGUCCGACGGUACAGGGUGAUAGUCCCGUACACCAAAAUGCACAGGUUGUGAACUCGAAGAGUAGGGCGGGACACGUGGUAUCCUGUCUGAAUAUGGGGGGACCAUCCUCCAAGGCUAAAUACUCCUGACUGACCGAUAGUGAACCAGUACCGUGAGGGAAAGGCGAAAAGAACCCCGGCGAGGGGAGUGAAAAAGAACCUGAAACCGUGUACGUACAAGCAGUGGGAGCACCUUCGGGUGUGACUGCGUACCUUUUGUAUAAUGGGUCAGCGACUUAUAUUCUGUAGCAAGGUUAACCGUAUAGGGGAGCCGCAGGGAAACCGAGUCUUAACUGGGCGUUAAGUUGCAGGGUAUAGACCCGAAACCCGGUGAUCUAGCCAUGGGCAGGUUGAAGGUUGGGUAACACUAACUGGAGGACCGAACCGACUAAUGUUGAAAAAUUAGCGGAUGACUUGUGGCUGGGGGUGAAAGGCCAAUCAAACCGGGAGAUAGCUGGUUCUCCCCGAAAGCUAUUUAGGUAGCGCCUCGUGAACUCAUCUUCGGGGGUAGAGCACUGUUUCGGCUAGGGGGUCAUCCCGACUUACCAACCCGAUGCAAACUACGAAUACCGAAGAAUGUUAUCACGGGAGACACACGGCGGGUGCUAACGUCCGUCGUGAAGAGGGAAACAACCCAGACCGCCAGCUAAGGUCCCAAAGUCAUGGUUAAGUGGGAAACGAUGUGGGAAGGCACAGACAGCCAGGAUGUUGGCUUAGAAGCAGCCAUCAUUUAAAGAAAGCGUAAUAGCUCACUGGUCGAGUCGGCCUGCGCGGAAGAUGUAACGGGGCUAAACCAUGCACCGAAGCUGCGGCAGCGACACUAUGUGUUGUUGGGUAGGGGAGCGUUCUGUAAGCCUGCGAAGGUGGCCUGUGAGGGUUGCUGGAGGUAUCAGAAGUGCGAAUGCUGACAUAAGUAACGAUAAAGCGGGUGAAAAGCCCGCUCGCCGGAAGACCAAGGGUUCCUGUCCAACGUUAAUCGGGGCAGGGUGAGUCGACCCCUAAGGCGAGGCCGAAAGGCGUAGUCGAUGGGAAACAGGUUAAUAUUCCUGUACUUGGUGUUACUGCGAAGGGGGGACGGAGAAGGCUAUGUUAGCCGGGCGACGGUUGUCCCGGUUUAAGCAUGUAGGCGGAGGUUCCAGGUAAAUCCGGUACCUUUUAACGCUGAGGUGUGAUGACGAGGCACUACGGUGCUGAAGUAACAAAUGCCCUGCUUCCAGGAAAAGCCUCUAAGCAUCAGGUAACAUCAAAUCGUACCCCAAACCGACACAGGUGGUCAGGUAGAGAAUACCAAGGCGCUUGAGAGAACUCGGGUGAAGGAACUAGGCAAAAUGGUGCCGUAACUUCGGGAGAAGGCACGCUGGUGUGUAGGUGAAGUCCCUGCGGAUGGAGCUGAGACCAGUCGAAGAUACCAGCUGGCUGCAACUGUUUAUUAAAAACACAGCACUGUGCAAACACGAAAGUGGACGUAUACGGUGUGACGCCUGCCCGGUGCCGGAAGGUUAAUUGAUGGGGUUAUCCGUAAGGAGAAGCUCUUGAUCGAAGCCCCGGUAAACGGCGGCCGUAACUAUAACGGUCCUAAGGUAGCGAAAUUCCUUGUCGGGUAAGUUCCGACCUGCACGAAUGGCGUAAUGAUGGCCAGGCUGUCUCCACCCGAGACUCAGUGAAAUUGAACUCGCUGUGAAGAUGCAGUGUACCCGCGGCAAGACGGAAAGACCCCGUGAACCUUUACUAUAGCUUGACACUGAACAUUGAGCCUUGAUGUGUAGGAUAGGUGGGAGGCUUUGAAGCGUGGACGCCAGUCUGCGUGGAGCCAACCUUGAAAUACCACCCUUUAAUGUUUGAUGUUCUAACGUUGGCCCCUUAUCGGGGUUGCGGACAGUGUCUGGUGGGUAGUUUGACUGGGGCGGUCUCCUCCCAAAGAGUAACGGAGGAGCACGAAGGUUAGCUAAUCCUGGUCGGACAUCAGGAGGUUAGUGCAAUGGCAUAAGCUAGCUUGACUGCGAGCGUGACGGCGCGAGCAGGUGCGAAAGCAGGUCAUAGUGAUCCGGUGGUUCUGAAUGGAAGGGCCAUCGCUCAACGGAUAAAAGGUACUCCGGGGAUAACAGGCUGAUACCGCCCAAGAGUUCAUAUCGACGGCGGUGUUUGGCACCUCGAUGUCGGCUCAUCACAUCCUGGGGCUGAAGUAGGUCCCAAGGGUAUGGCUGUUCGCCAUUUAAAGUGGUACGCGAGCUGGGUUUAGAACGUCGUGAGACAGUUCGGUCCCUAUCUGCCGUGGGCGCUGGAGAAUUGAGGGGGGCUGCUCCUAGUACGAGAGGACCGGAGUGGACGCAUCACUGGUGUUCGGGUUGUCAUGCCAAUGGCACUGCCCGGUAGCUAAAUGCGGAAGAGAUAAGUGCUGAAAGCAUCUAAGCACGAAACUUGCCCCGAGAUGAGUUCUCCCUGAGACUUUAAGUCUCCUGAAGGAACGUUGAAGACGACGACGUUGAUAGGCCGGGUGUGUAAGCGCAGCGAUGCGUUGAGCUAACCGGUACUAAUGAACCGUGAGGCUUAACCUUACAACGCCGAAGCUGUU